UACGUAGGUCCCGAGCGUUGUCCGGAUUUAUUGGGCGUAAAGCGAGCGCAGGUGGUUUAUUAAGUCUGGUGUAAAAGGCAGUGGCUCAACCAUUGUAUGCAUUGGAAACUGGUAGACUUGAGUGCGGGAGAGGAGAGUGGAAUUCCAUGUGUAGCGAUGAAAUGCGUAGAUAUAUGGAGGAACACCGGUGGCGAAAGCGGCUCUCUGGCCUGUAACUGACACUGAGGCUCGAAAGCGUGGGGAGCAAACAGG
rnacentral:rRNA from 1 species